rnacentral:rRNA from 1 species
UACGAAGGGGGCUAGCGUUGCUCGGAAUCACUGGGCGUAAAGCGCACGUAGGCGGAUUGCUAAGUCAGGGGUGAAAUCCUGGAGCUCAACUCCAGAACUGCCUUUGAUACUGGGAGUCUUGAGUUCGGGAGAGGUGAGUGGAACUGCGAGUGUAGAGGUGAAAUUCGUAGAUAUUCGCAAGAACACCAGUGGCGAAGGCGGCUCACUGGCCCGAUACUGACGCUGAGGUGCGAAAGCGUGGGGAGCAAACAGG